AAUGGGCUCAGUUUUGCUGAAUAAUCACGUGUGAAUCAAGGGGCGGGCUUUUGGCAGGCCGACCUUACUAGUAUUUACUACCAAGCUCUACUCCAGAUUAACCAUCCCAGUCCUUCUGUCAGCCUCCGAUGCCAUCAUGCAGCCUGAUUAGGAGCAAAGGAAAAGGGGAAAGGAGAAGCCACUAAUCGUCUUUUCCCGAUCGUCAGGACCCUAAAGAAUGGCCGAGCCUUGGGGGAACGAGUUGGCGUCCGCAGCUGCCAGGGGGGACCUAGAGCAACUUACUAGUUUGUUGCAAAAUAAUGUAAACGUCAACGCUCAAAAUGGAUUUGGGAGAACUGCGCUGCAGGUUAUGAAACUUGGAAAUCCAGAGAUUGCCAGGAGACUUCUACUCAGAGGUGCUAAUCCCAAUUUGAAAGACCGAACUGGUUUCGCUGUCAUUCAUGAUGCAGCCAGAGCAGGUUUCCUGGACACGGUACAGGCUUUGCUGGAGUUUCAAGCUGAUGUUAACAUUGAAGAUAAUGAAGGGAACCUGCCCUUGCACUUGGCUGCCAAAGAAGGCCACCUCCCUGUGGUGGAGUUCCUUGUGAAGCACACAGCCAGCAAUGUGGGGCAUCGGAAUCAUAAGGGGGACACCGCCUUCGACUUGGCCAGGUUCUAUGGAAGAAAUGAGGUCAUUAGCCUGAUGGAGGCAAAUGGGGUCGGGGGAGCCACAAAUCUACAACAUUUAAAAAAAAAAAACAGCUUGGUAAUGGCCGGCAAGUGAGCAAAGGUUGUCCUGCUACCACAGCACCUGCAAAAGCACAAGUGGAAUUCACAUAUUUUGCUUCCUGUGCUCUAAAAUGGAUUCUGAACCGUCCAGAGAAACCAGCACAUAGAAAGAGGGGGACCUGAGAUGAGAGCAGAGUUUGUUCAUUUUUAAAAUUACACAGAUCCUACUGGAAGAGUUUGGAACAUAACCUAAGGCUAGCAAAUGAAGUUUCUGGCUAUCAACACAAAAGAAUUUUAAAGAUCAGUGCUCUCUAAGGAAAAUACUCUCAUAAUAAAAGGAUGAAAAUAGCUCCUUUUUAGCAGAAAAGAUUGUAUAGAGGAUUGAUACAAAAUUUUUCAUCAUUUCUAUCCCAAAGUAUAUUUCCUAUCAUUAUUUUGAAUUCAAAUAUAUGUAAUUUAAACAAGAGACAAUGUCUGAACACAGUGAGGAUUUUCUACUUAGCAACAGAACAUACUGAAGAAAAAUAAGAUCAAAGCGCCAGACAUAAAAAUACAAAAUAUAGAAUGACAAUGACAUCAAAUCAACAAAGACAAAAAUCAUCUGUCAAUUUGAGGGAAAGGAUUUCUCAGGAAAACUGUUUAGAUCUCCUUCUAUUAGAUUACAAGAUUACUGGAAGGUAACAUGAAUAUCCCAAAUCAAGUGGCCUCUGUUUAGGUCCCUGUGAUAGUUAUUUUUCGGAAGGAUUCUCUGAGGUUGUUUCAAUGUAAUUGUACAUAUAUUAGCUAUAAAAAGUGCUCCAUAAAAUCUUGAAUUAUACAGAAUUGCGUCAUCAUUUGAAGACUAGUAAAUUAUAUACACACACUUAUGAAAUUUGGAUUUUUUGUGGGUUUUUUUUUGAAACAAGGUUUCUCUGGGUUACCUCCCUGACUGUCCAGGAACUUUAUUUAUUUGGUUUACAUUUUAACGAGACAAAAGAAACACAUAAAUACGGUAUGAGUAUUUAUUUUGCACCUAUUUUUCUUACUUAAUAUUCAUAACUCCUUCAAGACAAGGGUUGGGGCCUUUUUAAAAAAUCCCAUUCUACUAAUCAGGAAACUCAGAAUUGAUGGAAAAUAAGCACUUGUCUGUUGAAACAAACUGGUAACUUAAUAAUGCACAAGGAUUCAAACUUGUGCCCUUUUUUAACUGUGGCCAGAUAGAAAAUUUUUCACCAAAUUGGCACAAAUCAGUCAAGUGGAUAAUUUUGUAUUGUGAGCCCAUCAUCAUGGUCACCUAAUAAGCUUAUGCUGUUGGGACUUCAGGAUUUCUGCAUCUGAAAAAUAGGAGAAAUACGGGGCCAGCCUGGUCUACUGAGCAAGUUCUAGGACAGGCUUCAAAACAAUUCAGAGAAUCCCUGUCUGGAAAAAACAAACAAACAAACAAACAAACAAACAAACAACAAAAGAGAAAUAAUCCCUAUGUUUUCAUGUUCUCAUAAAUAACAGCAAACUGUGUACAAAGAUUCUGUUCCCAAUAAGCCCUUUAUGAAUAAACCACAAGCAACCGAAAAACA